GACGAACGCUGGCGGCAGGCUUAAUACAUGCAAGUCGUGGGGCAGCAGGACUGUAGCCCUACCGUUGCUGGCGACCGGCAAAUGGGUGCGGAACACGUACGCAGCUUUCCCUGAACUGGGGGAUAGCCCGGGGAAACCCGAAUUAAUACUCCGUAAUCUAAUUGCGUGGCAUCCCUUUAUUAUUAACGCUCCGGCGGUUCGGGAUGGGGGGGCGGCUGAUUAGGUAGUUGGUUGAGGUAACGGCUCACCAGGCCUACGAUCAGUAACUGGUGGGAGAGCACGCCCAGUCACACGGGCACCGGGACACGGGCCCGACGCAUACGGGAGGCAGCAGUAAGGAAGAGAGGGCAGGGGAGGCAACUCUGACCCAGCCAUGCCGCGUGGAGGAUGAAGGCCCUCUGGGUUGUAGACUUCUGUUAUAAGGGACGAAACCUGUGUAAUGUUACGCAGGUGACGGUACCCUAGGAAUAAGCACCGGCUAACUCCGUG
rnacentral:rRNA from 1 species